UAGAGUUUGAUCCUGGCUCAGAUUGAACGCUGGCGGCAUGCCUUACACAUGCAAGUCGAACGGUAACAGGUCUUCGGACGCUGACGAGUGGCGAACGGGUGAGUAAUACAUCGGAACGUGCCCAGUCGUGGGGGAUAACUACUCGAAAGAGUAGCUAAUACCGCAUACGAUCUGAGGAUGAAAGCGGGGGACCUUCGGGCCUCGCGCGAUUGGAGCGGCCGAUGGCAGAUUAGGUAGUUGGUGGGAUAAAAGCUUACCAAGCCGACGAUCUGUAGCUGGUCUGAGAGGACGACCAGCCACACUGGGACUGAGACACGGCCCAGACUCCUACGGGAGGCAGCAGUGGGGAAUUUUGGACAAUGGGCGAAAGCCUGAUCCAGCAAUGCCGCGUGCAGGAUGAAGGCCUUCGGGUUGUAAACUGCUUUUGUACGGAACGAAAAAGCUCCUUCUAAUACAGGGGGCCCAUGACGGUACCGUAAGAAUAAGCACCGGCUAACUACGUGCCAGCAGCCGCGGUAAU
rnacentral:rRNA from 1 species